AUAGUAAAUAUACGUAAAAGUGUUCCUAAGGAUACAUUUAAAAUGAUGUUUNGAAGGUCUGAGACAGGAGCCAAUCACUGCCCUAGCAGGGCAUCACCCUCUCUGGGUGAGUGAGUGCACAGAGAAUAUGGGCCAUUGUGAGCUGUCUUCACAGAAGAAACCAGCCAGUGCAGUUCUCCAGCACUGCUGGUGGAUGUGACCUCACUGGCUUGGAAACACUCAUGGCUGGCAUAUGAGUGCAAUGUGUGAGUUGGAGUACACCUCCAGAACCCAAUUCAGACUACUCUCU
rnacentral:RNase_P_RNA from 1 species